rnacentral:rRNA from 1 species
AUUGAACGCUGGCGGCAUGCUUUACACAUGCAAGUCGAACGGUAACAGGUUAAGCUGACGAGUGGCGAACGAGUGAGUAAUGCAUCGGAACGUGCCCGAUCGUGGGGGAUAACGCAGCGAAAGCUGCGCUAAUACCGCAUACGAUCUGAGGAUGAAAGCGGGGGACCGUAAGGCCUCGCGCGAUCGGAGCGGCCGAUGUCAGAUUAGGUAGUUGGUGGGGUAAAGGCUCACCAAGCCGACGAUCUGUAGCUGGUCUGAGAGGACGACCAGCCACACUGGGACUGAGACACGGCCCAGACUCCUACGGGAGGCAGCAGUGGGGAAUUUUGGACAAUGGGCGCAAGCCUGAUCCAGCAAUGCCGCGUGCAGGAAGAAGGCCUUCGGGUUGUAAACUGCUUUUGUACGGAGCGAAAAGGUCCUUUCUAAUACAGAGGGCUCAUGACGGUACCGUAAGAAUAAGCACCGGCUAACUACGUGCCAGCAGCCGCGGUAA